AGUUGAUCCCUAGUAUGGCCCAGGGUAAAUCAGUGCUGAGGACUGCUGGGAACAUGAUAACCCUUUCUGAACAUGAGGAGAUGAAGAUAUAAUAGAUAGAAAUAAUAGCCAUGGGACAGCUCACUCAAACCUGCGGUGGUUGGCUGAGACUGGAUGUCAGCUGUACAUGGGAAACCAAGGGCACCUCCAGGGAUCUUGGUACCACUCAUGGCCCCUCGGAACCCUGAAGAUGAAACUCAUCCCAUGUUCGUGGAGUUUCAUACAGCCCCACCUGCAUCUUGGGUGGCUCACCUCAAAGGCGGUGUGGUUAUUUUUAGCUGCAGAAGGUGGUUCCAUCCUCUGUGUGGUUUGAGGCUGUGGUUCCACUUCCCCUUGCUGCGUUGUGCUGUGCAGACUUCGACAGUGGCUGUACCCCUGUGGCAUGGGACUAGUUCUUCACCCAGGGCACAUGGCACAGGCAUUUUAGGGACUGGGAAACAGGCAGAAUUCUUGGUAGCUUCUUGAAUAAAGAAGGUGCAUGGACGUAGGCCAUUUAAAA